rnacentral:rRNA from 1 species
UGGGGAAUAUUGGACAAUGGGCGGAAGCCUGAUCCAGCAACGCCGCGUGAGGGAUGACGGCCUUCGGGUUGUAAACCUCUUUCAGUACCGACGAAGCGAAAGUGACGGUAGGUACAGAAGAAGCACCGGCCAACUACGUGCCAGCAGCCGCGGUAAUACGUAGGGUGCGAGCGUUGUCCGGAAUUAUUGGGCGUAAAGGGCUCGUAGGCGGUUUGUCGCGUCGGGAGUGAAAACACUGGGCUUAACUCAGUGCUUGCUUCCGAUACGGGCAGACUAGAGGUAUGCAGGGGAGAACGGAAUUCCUGGUGUAGCGGUGAAAUGCGCAGAUAUCAGGAGGAACACCGGUGGCGAAGGCGGUUCUCUGGGCAUUACCUGACGCUGAGGAGCGAAAGUGUGGGGAGCGAACAGGAUUAGAUACCCUGGUAGUCCACACCGUAAACGUUGGGCGCUAGGUGUGGGGUCCAUUCCACGGAUUCCGUGCCGCAGCUAACGCAUUAAGCG